rnacentral:rRNA from 1 species
UACGUAGGUGGCAAGCGUUGUCCGGAUUUACUGGGCGUAAAGGGUCUGUAGGUGGCUCGCUAAGUCAGACGUGAAAUCCCUCAGCUUAACUGGGGAACUGCGUCUGAGACUGGCGAGCUUGAGUGCAGGAGAGGAACGCAGAAUUCCAGGUGUAGCGGUGAAAUGCGUAGAUAUCUGGAGGAACACCAAUAGCGAAGGCAGCUCGCUGGGACGUUACUGACACUGAGGCGCGAAAGCGUGGGGAGCGAACAGG